UACGUAGGGGGCAAGCGUUGUCCGGAUUUAUUGGGCGUAAAGCGCACGCAGGCGGUCUCUUAAGUUUUGAGUGACAGGUGGUGGCUCAACUACCACAGGCCUUGGAAAACUGGGAGACUUGAGGACUUCAGAGGGAUGCGGAAUUCCAGGUGGAGCGGUGAAAUGCGCAGAUAUCAGGAGGAACACCGGUGGCGAAGGCGGUGGUCUGGGCCGGCACUGACGCUGAGGAGCGAAAGCGUGGGGAGCGAACAGG
rnacentral:rRNA from 1 species